rnacentral:rRNA from 1 species
AUGACCAGAGGAGAGAGAGAUCCUGCCGCCACCGGCACCACGCGGGUGUUAUCCCGGCGGAGAACGCCGGCGGCGGCGAGCUGGAGGGUAUCGGUGGAGGGGACGAAGGGCAGGCGUGGUGAGUCGCCGCCCGAGUCGCUCGGAGCGAGCGACGCGGGGGCCGGGACACAACAAUCCCUUGACAACAUAAGGACUAUCAGAAAAAGUUCUUCAAAAGCAAUGCCUCCAGGAAGGGAACGGCGUGCAAACGCCGUCAUCGCCAGAUCCAACCACUGCCGGAUCAUGGGUUUUCACCCUGAAGAUCUAGUCUUGUCGGAUUCUUUGACGAGAGAGGAGGAUCAUGAGAACCGCCAAAAUCCUGAGUUUCGGACACUUCGGCAGUCUCGAACCAUCCUCACAAGUGGCAUCCGAUGGCUGAUCUACACGAGACGACGCCAUCACCCACCCGCCGGCUGCGAGGGUGGCGGUCGCGACAUCUACCGCAAGGCCACCACCACAUCCCUUCACACCCUGAUGCUGAAGAUGUGCCACAAGAGCAACGCCGGCCCUGGAAGUGGCUCUUCAGAUUGGGAACCUAGAUCAUGGUGGCCGCCGGUGUUGCUGCUUGUACUCCUCUGCAUUUGGUUGGCGCAGCCGUUGCUUCCACUGCUUGGUGAAGCCGCAUCAUGCCAGCUAUCAAGGAGAGUAGAAGCCUGCUGCACUGCAUCCACUGCCUUGAGUCGCCGUCGUAACAUCGCCAUCCGCGUCCAAUCAGCCACAGGGACGGAGCCCCGCCGCCGCCGGCAGCCGCGCGAGCAAGCCCGGCGGCGCCGCUCGGCGGCGGCGAGAGGAGGGCGCGUGGGGAUUUCCCGAGGGGUUUUGCCAAAACACUCAGUUCGUCAUCAAUUUCUUCACGGCUAUUGGUCUUGGAGGAAGGAAGCCCUCGUAAACUCGACAAAAGAAGAGGAAGACGAGUGCAAGGGACGGAGCCCCGCCGCCGCCGGCAGCCGCGCGAGCAAGCCCGGCGGCGCCGCUCGGCGGCGGCGAGAGGAGGGCGCGUGGGGAAACUCGACAAAAGAAGAGGAAGACGAGUGCAAGGUGUGGCACACAUGCUUCCAAGAUCUAACCCUAGAUAUUCGGCCUCCGGUGGUGCACGAUACCUUCUUGGAUUGGUGGAUCGAGACUAGGAGGGGGAUGCCAAAGGAUCUUAAAAGAGGCUACGACACUUUUGUCAUCUUGGUCGGAUGGGAGUUGUGGAAGCAACGGAACGCGCGGGUGUUCAAUAGGGUUCAGAAACAACGAACCCCAAUAGAAUUGGUUGAGGACAUAUUCAGAGAAGUACAACAAUGGAGACAAGCUGGUGUAGGAGUUGGUGGUUUAACACAUUUUCACCUCGGAUCCCCUCCUGCCCCGGUGUUAAUUAUUGAGAGCUGCUUGAGGGCAAACCUGACGCCCACGCUCAGCUCGGUGAUUAAUGACCUCCAGGACAAGACAACACUGCUGAUCCAAGACCGGUGGUGGCGUCGAUGGGAGGAUGUUGCACGAGCCCUGCCUCUUGAACAUCAGUGCUGCGACAAGACCCUCGGGCUGCUGUGUAAGGGAUGGCCGGCCACCCAAAGACGGCACACGCCAUCGCACUGUUGA